rnacentral:rRNA from 1 species
CGGGGGGAGCAAGCGUUGUUCGGAUUUACUGGGCGUAAAGGGCGCGUAGGCGGCCAGCGCAAGUCAGUUGUGAAAUCUCCGGGCUUAACUCGGAAAGGUCAACUGAUACUGCGCGGCUAGAGUGCAGAAGGGGCAACUGGAAUUCUCGGUGUAGCGGUGAAAUGCGUAGAUAUCGAGAGGAACACCUGCGGCGAAGGCGGGUUGCUGGGCUGACACUGGCGCUGAUGCGCGAAAGCCAGGGGAGCGAACGGGAUUAGAUACCCCCGGUAGUCCUGCCUUAAACGAUGGGUGCUUGGUGUCUGGAGUUUUAUAGUCUCCGGGUGCCGUAGCUAACGCGUUAAGCAUCCCGCCUGGGGAGUACGGUCGCAAGCUG